UUCAACAAGCAAAUGUGGUGUUUGGGAAUAUUACACAUUAUGGGACAGUAAUCAAAGAUUAUUUUCUGAAGCUGGUACCAUCUAUGAAGACAAAAGAAACAGAUUAUUACCCAGAAAUGCAGAAAAAUUGCUUUUUUUACAUAAUAAUCUUUUGAACACCAACGUACAAUUUAAAUUUUGAUAUAAUAUAUAUUGUAUAAUUCAGUUAUAGGUUUAUUAUUUAUUUUGUACCUUUGAACAUUUGAAAAUUGAAAGUUCAUCAAUCAUAUCAUUAAGUUCAUAAAACGUUAAUUUGAUUAUGAAAAGUUAUCAUAUAAUGAUUAAUAAUUCAGUUAGUAAUAUGAAAGAAUCUCAUAUUAUAUUAUUAUCUGGAAUGCCAGGAAAGAAUAACUGGUGGAGGAAUAUAAGGACUACAUAAAGCCGAUCAGUAAGUGGAAGAUUGACUUCGUAUCAAACCAUCUGUUUAUAGUACUGAGACUUGACGCAUAAUCGAUAUUAUUUUAUCAUAAACGAUUAUUAUUAUUAUUACCGUGGGUUAUUCAAUUAUUUUACUAUUGUUUGUUGGAUAUUAUUAAUUAUUCGUUUUUAUUUUUUCCCACAAUCUGUACACCAAUAGGUAUAACCAUAUGCCAUAUGCAAUAAAAACAUUUAUCUAGAAUAAAUAUUGAGUUUAAAUAA